rnacentral:rRNA from 1 species
GAUGAACGCUGGCGGCGUGCCUAAUACAUGCAAGUCGAGCGAACGGACGAGAAGCUUGCUUCUCUGAUGUUAGCGGCGGACGGGUGAGUAACACGUGGAUAACCUACCUAUAAGACUGGGAUAACUUCGGGAAACCGGAGCUAAUACCGGAUAAUAUUUUGAACCGCAUGGUUCAAAAGUGAAAGACGGUCUUGCUGUCACUUAUAGAUGGAUCCGCGCUGCAUUAGCUAGUUGGUAAGGUAACGGCUUACCAAGGCAACGAUGCAUAGCCGACCUGAGAGGGUGGUCGGCCCCACUGGAACUGAGACACGGUCCAGACUCCUACGGGAGGCAGCAGUAGGGAAUCUUCCGCAAUGGGCGAAAGCCUGACGGAGCAAAGGCGCGGGAGGGAUGAAGGUCUUCGGAUCGUAAAACUCUGUUAUUAGGGAAGAACAUAUGUGUAAGGAACUGUGCACAUCUUGACGGUACCUAAUCAGAAAGCCACGGCUAACUACGUG